rnacentral:tRNA from 1 species
UAGGUGGUAGUAUAAUGUGGUAGUACGUGGGGUUUUGGACUUUGUGGUGUGGGUUCGUGGCCCGUCUGCCUAG